AAGUGAGACCCUGUCUUUAUUUAAAAUUAAGGAAAAAUAAAGAUACGAUACUGUAUGCAGAUUUAAAUCAUUUUGAGCAAGUCGUAUUUUCUUGCCACCUUGGAAGAGUCAAUUAACAUUUAUUGCUGGCCACAUGGCAGACAAUAUGCUCAAUGCUUCAUGGGCAUUAUCUCAUUUCUGUUUUAAAUUACAAAAUGAAGUCUAUGGAUGUUGAAAAUUUUGAAAGAUAUAGAAAAACACAGGAUAAAAAUUGAGAGGCUCUCGUCUCUUCUGCCUUCCCUUACCUUCUCUCUCACUGCUCUCUUUCCCUACAGCUUACCCUAGUGGUACAUGUAUGGUUGUGUGCCGGAUAUGUAUGUGUGUGUUUGUGGGUAGCUGUGUGUACAUACACACAUAACCAUACAAACAAGACCAUAGCUAUUUAUUGUAUUAAGACUUUUCCCCCCUUUUUAAUAGUGUAAUUUGGAUAUUUUCCUGCCUUCUACCAAAUACAUAAAUAUCAUGUUUCUUAAUACUCUUAAUAGUCUAUUCCAUAGUUUAGACUGUAUUUAACAACUCCCUUAUCAUUAGAUAUUUAGGCUUGUCCAGCUUUUUGCUAUCACAAACAGGGAUCUUGGUGUAUAUGUGAAUGUUGGCAGCAGGUUAGCAGAGCACCAGAAGUGGGACUACUGGUCAAACCUUUGCACAAAAAUCAUACAGCCUCUAAUAGCAUUUCCCAGAGAAGAAAAGGGCCUUGUCUGGAACACAGAUCAAGAACUCUUAACUUUUUCUGAUCCAUGCUUUACAUUGCCACUUGAUAAAUACUACAUGUCAUCUCUAAGUACCACUAAAUCUCCCAUCUGGAGAGAUGGGACACUCUCCUUUAUACCUUUGAUGACUUUACUACCCAUGAUAAAAGCAGGAGAUCCCACCUUCCAGCUGCCCCUUCUUAAACAUCUAACUCUGUGCAAGUCCCAACCCUCAUUUAAUCACUUUGCUACUUCAUUGCAUUCAUCACACCAACUUGCAGUUAUUUGUACAGUUGUUCAUCUUCCAUUAGACUGAGCCCUCUGAGGGCAGGAAAUAUUUUUCAUUCUUCUUGGAACUUCCUUUUCCUAACAUAGUGUCUGAGAUGCUCAAUAAACUUUUUUUUGAGUGAAUAAAAAAUAAAUGAGGGAGUAGAAUACCUAGAUGAAUUCAGUUAUAAAAUGGCUCCAGGUACUGAAAUUGUCCAUUUUCAUUUUUAUGUUUUUGCAAUAAGAAAGAUGAACAUGCAUCUCCCCUAGUGCUACUUUUUUCAAAACUAAAUAUUCUAAUUCCAAGGCUUUAUUUCCGUCAAAUAACUACCACUUCCAAAUUCUUCUGUUAUUUUUAUUGUUCUCCAGGAUCUCUCCAUCUCAAUCAUGUCAUACAUUGGAAACAAUUCUCUGACACUUCAUCUAUAUACAAUCAACACUUUGUUAGGCUCUUGUAGCUGCCUCAUUUUUUGUAACACAAUAGAAUACUUGCCUUAAUAAUAAAUUAUAUUUGCCUUACAGUAUGGCUUAUUAGAUACCCAAAAUGUUUUCUGCCAUGCUUUCGAAAUGUUUUGACUGCAUGACAUUCUAUGGUGUUAAAAUUCCCCAAAAUGAAUGAUUUAUACUGCAUUUGCCUUAAUUGGAAUCUAUCCUGUUUUCAUCUUUCCUACUUUGACAGUCAUCUCAAUGUAAAUCCUGUGUCAGAGGUGCUUAUCUGUCUCUUUGCUACUUUUCUUUGAAAACUAAACAUAAACACAAGAAAUUUCACAUAGUAAAACUAGUAAGAUCUGGGUUUAUAAAUAUAAAUGGUGCAUCUGUGGCGGCAGAGCUCUGUCUCCAACUUCUUGGAGAUAAACAAGUUCAUAGUUAGAAAUGCUCUAGAAGUAAACAGGAAACCUGCUACACAAAUUGUGAAAUAUAAGUAUGUUUUAUAGAAGUCCUGAAAUUGUAUUUUUCAACAAGUUAAAACAGAAAAACCUAACACUACCAUAUCCAUUAAAUAUUAAUUCUCUCUUCCUCAAAUGUUUUACUCAUAUCUAUGCCUGUCCCUUUGGAACAUUUUUCAGUCAAAUUCAUAACACUGUCUUGAUUCCAAGCCUCAGGAGAACAUUUGAAUGAAAUUUUCAAAUGCUUCAAUUUUUAUAUCAUCCAAUGUGGAAUUCACAUUUACUGAGCACCUGCAAUGAGCUAGGAUCUGUACUACAUACUUUUAAAAAUACAUUAUUUUUCCUAAGAAAGUUCUGAGGUAGAUAUAUUAUUUUACAGAUGAGGAAACAGAGGUUCAGAGAGGUUAACUGACUUCACAAAAGUCAUAGAGCUACUAGGUAACAGAGCUCAUUGAACAUGGAGCUAGGAUUCAACCCUGGAUCGCCGUGAAGCCAUUUUGUUUCCAUGACAUCAUGACAUUGGUUAUAACACCACAAUUGUUUAGAAUAUAAGGCUUGUUUAGAAUGCAAGGCUUCCUCAAUUCUCCACCCUUCCCCUCUUGACAUCUUGCUCUUCUUCCCUUCAUCUAUUGUGUUAGUCAGGUGCAUGCUGGUCUUCCCUCUAUCAAACUGUAAGCUACUUGGAGACUUGGGAUGCCUCACUCAUCUCUAUUCCCAAACCUCAGGGUCUAUCAUUCUACCUUCUGUAUAGACAGGACUUUCAUAGUUUUGAACAAGUCAGAACCUGAAAGAAUUUGCUUCCAGAACAGGACAUUGACAGGAAAAUUAAGCAUGAUCAUGCCGAGGAAUAAGAAUUGGACCUACCUCAAGAUCUGUUGAGAAGAUUAUGAGAGAGCUGAUGGAUCUAAAAGAUUGGCGCUUGAUAGAAUUGGGAUCAUUUGUUUUGACUAGAACAAUCUCUUGCAGCUUGGAUGGAGAAACUUUACAGAGGUUUCAGCCAAACACUCAUGAAUUCUUUAAUGUGUGAAAUAAAGUAAGUUUUAUAGGCAAAUAACAAUCUGAAUCCCUAACUAGCUAUUUCAUAUAAUAUGCAUAUAACUCUGAAAAUUACAUACAUCAAAUUUCAAUUUGGCUUCAUGCAUGCUUUGUUUUAUAGAUUCAUAAAGGCAGAUUUUCUCUGAUUAUCAGACUUAUUGCAAAAUGGAGUCAACACAGAAACUUCCUGAAGUUGGCAAAGCUUGUUUUCUUUGGCUGACAGGAGUAACUGAUGUAUUAUUAUUUUUUAAGGCUCUGAGAUAAAUCUGAUUCAUGUUUGAAUCAUAAGUUUAUUAUUGAUUUUUAGUGUGGAUUUUGCAUAAGAUACUCAAUUUAGAGAAUACUCAGCUUUCUCAUAUGCAGAAUAGAAAAAAAGUAGUUACCUGAUCAGAUUUUUUGAAAGGUAAAUGCAACAGCAGUUGUAAAUGGCAUAGUCCAUUGUUAGGAAUAGACUAGGUGUUCAAUAAAUGAAUAAAAAAAAACCGUGAAGCUCUCCUGAAGCUUUAUAUUCCCUGUCUAUAAAAUGGAGACAUCACUGAUUUCCUGCUUACAUUACAAGACUGCUGUGAAGAUCAAAUGAAGAAACAGAUAAAAAUGUUUGGUAAACUGAAUUGUACAGUAUAAAUAGAAAGCGGUGACAAAAGUAAUUCAUACCAAUGCAGUUUUUUAAAAAUAUCCCAACCUGCCUACACAACUACUUCCUCUCUCUGAGAUUUAUCUCAAAAGUGGAAUUAGAUUCCUGUCUUAGCUGUAAAAAUAAAGCCACAAAGGGCAUCAUGCAUGAGAGAGUAAAUGUGAAACUCUGUGGGGGAAAAUGGAAACUUCAGAUAUUAUUAGGGCCUAGCUGCCAAUGGUGAUUCUCUCAAGAUUUUAUUGGCAGGUUGAGUGAAAGUGCCAGAGUGUGGAUGCACAAAUUGUAGUUUAAUUGGUGUGAUUUAUAGCUAAUGGUGCAUCAGAAGGAGGAACUAGGAACUGUGCCUUCUAAUUUAAGGCAUAGUACCUAAGACUGCAUCCACUAGGUAAGAAAACCUUCCUUGGCAAACUCAAAUAUUAAAUCUUCGCUGAAUUUGUCUUGUUCUUUUAUAUAAAAAUCAUGGAGCCAGGAGCUAAAAUAAUAUCUAAGUUUCCUCUUUGCCUGACGCCAUCCAUGCAAAAUGUGACUUGCUUCUUCAGCAGCAGCAUGAAAACAAACUAAUACACCACUAUUCCUAGGUAAGUAGAGCCACAAUGGGAAGACCACUAAGGGAAUAUGGAGGCUCACAGAGGCUAGUCAAUUUAUCCAAGGCCACGCAGCAAAGCUGGGACUCAAACUCAAAUCUUCUAGUCCUAGUUUCAUUCAGUUUUUUUUUUUUCCUACAUUGAUUCUAGACUUUGUUCUACAAGUGACUACUUUUCUGUUUUGUUCCUGACAUGAACAUGUCCAUGGCUGUCUCAGACUUGUUUGGUUACCCUAAGUAACCAUUUAGCAGCCAAUUUCUGAUAUGACUAUAGAUACAUCUCUAUAAGUGAAUUCUAUAGGUGAUUUGGCAUGAUCAAAAUGAAAAGGCUUUGUUUGAGUUCCCCAAUAUACUGCUCAAAUGAAAGCUUCUCAAAAUAUCAUUUUGAGAUACGACAGGUCUUUCCUUCAAAUACAACAGAUACUUUUCUUUUGCAGCACUCAGCAUACAUACAACUAUUUAUUUAUCUGUAAGUACUUGCUUAGUAUCUGUGAAGAACAUUGCAGGUACCUGACAUAUGUCUAACUGAUGGAGUGAGGCUGCUAAUGUGGCCAUCUCUCCCUCUUCCUGAUAAGAAAGUGAACCAGCCAUUUCAAAAUGUGGAGAAUUCGAUAAAUAUGUUCUACUCCUCUAUAGCCCUCCCACUAAAAUAAUUUUCAAUUUUCAAUUGAGGUGAAAGGAAGAAUCGGCAAAGAGACGGAUUGAGAGAAUUGUUUAUACUCAUAACUUCGUUCUCAACAUAAUUAUCUAUUUCUGAAUCCUAAAAAUCACCUAGCUAGAUUCUCCCUCAAUCUGAAGAUUACCUUUUACUCCUUGAGAUGCUAAAUGUGUUCCUAUUUAUCAUAUUAAUAUUGCGAGUAUUUUGUGUUAUGCAGCCAGAAAAAUCACAUAAUGGGAACUUACCCACAGCCCCCAAACUCAUAAACAGGAGCUGAAUAGAAAUUCCUCAGUGCAAUUUAUGGUAACAAUUUCAUGCUCAGUUUAGUUACUUCCAUGACUCAGAAAAGAAAUUUCUUUUGCUUAUUUCAGUAAUUUUUUUCUAAAAAAUUGUUCCCCUAAUUUUUGGCAAAGGAUCUAUGAGAAAGUGAAGAACUCCCUGGUUGUACAUGGAUUUGGAAUUGUCACUUAAGUGAGGCCAAAAUGUAACCCUAUGCCAUUCAUUGCAUAGUACCAUUUGUUAUAAAUUUGACCUCUAAAACAAAGAUAUUACAAAGCCAUUGAGUGUUUUUUUAAGGGAUAUAUUAUAUUUGUCACUUAGUCCCCAGUAUUAUGAUGGAAAACCUGGAUAGUGGAUAGAAAACCUGGAGGUCAUUUAGGCAUCUCUUUCACUGGUUGGGUGAGAAAUGGUGAAGAAGAUGGGAAUGGAGAAGGGACAUACAUUUGGUAAGUGUAAAUAAGAGUCUUUGCUGAUUAAUUCAGUGUGGCCCAUGAGAAAGAGUGGAAGUGUCCAAGGUUCCCUCAGGUUUACAGCUUGGGCAACUGACUGAGAACAGAAAGGAGCUGCCAUUGAGAGGAAGAAAAGAAAAUGACACUGAGUCCAUGUUGGGACACAUUGGGUUUAAAGGGAUAUCAUUAUGACCUAAGCUCUCUGAAUUCCAGUGACUGGGAAUAUGGGAAGAUACAUCUUUAACAGUUGAAGCAAUUUAUACACUUUAACAAUUGAAGCAAUUUAUACACCAGAGCCUAAGGAAUAUUUAUAGAUGAGGGCUGUGCUGCAAUGACAGAUAGGGUUGUAUGAAACAUACACUAAUCUGACCAUUCUAUCCUCCAGACUCAGGGAAGGAAAUAAUAAAAGUAAGUAACCAUAAAAAAUAGACUUUUAUGCAUAAAUAAAUAAAAAUCAGCUAGGAGACAGUUCAUCCCUGUAUAAGUAAAACAGGCAAAUUUAUCUUUCCUCUGAUUAAUAAUUUAAGAAAAAAUCCCAAGCAAGCUGCCUAUGGAGGUGUAGGAGUAGCUCCUAUAAUUAGACUCCAAUUUGAACCAUGAGGGUGAGGAUCAGAAAGCUGACUCAGAGCCUGGUGUCAAUUAUUUGCAGUUUGUACAACGAAAGGCUAAAAAUUUGGGAGAUGCAGGAUGACUGAAGCCCGAUUCUGGGGGUUGUUACAGCACAGUUACAGGGUAAGUUUUUUCCAUUGUUAUUUGCUGGAAAAUUUAUUCUCCAUCUCCUUUAGUCUGUGCCUGAAUUUUGUGGGACUUGCUCGAGAAUGGUAUUCAUGCUUUAAAUCCAAGAGCCAGGAAUCAUCGCAUUUCAACAAUUUUCCUAUUUAUUUUAACCAAAACAGAGCUGGUUUCUAUAACUCAAUUUAAGAAAUUAUCCUCUUUGAUACAAUCUACUUAUGUUUGAUUGAUUUUAGAAUAAACUAACAGAUACACAAGAGCUUAUCAAGCUAGCUCGGUUCAGUGGAGAACUAUAGCAGAAACAGCAGGUUUCUAUUUGGCACAUUUUGGAUUUAUCUGGACGCAAGAGGAUGUGAAAAGAACACCUUUCAGACAAAAGCCAGUCUUGAGUAGGAAUUUAGUGUUCCUUGCCCAAACAGCUUAGUUUGUUUCCCAUUUUGAGUCACUAUCUGAAUCCUUUUUUAUCUCCUAUAUAGAACAAAUUCUCUCCCUCUAUUUAAUAGGCUUUCAGAUAUGAAACAGAGAGAGAGAGAGAGAGAGGAAGGAAGGAAGGGAGGGAGGGAAAGAGAAAGGGAAAGAAGGAAGGAAAAGCUCUAAUUUCUUCUGUUCUUUUGGUAACACACCUCCCCUUCACAUCCUUCAGCUGCUCCCCUUAGGGCUUUUUGUAGACACUUUUGGUGGUCUCUCCUCUCACACACUGCUCACCACUGUACUUUAUUUUGUAUCAUCUGUCUCCAUCCUUUCCCAACUCCUGAGCACUCAGCCUCCUCUGGAUCUUUUCUGGUUCCUUCGCUCCUAGAACUGUGUCUGAUGGCUUAUGAAGGCAAAUGACAAAUGUUUGCCAUAUGCACAUGUAUGUGCAUGAAUGAAUACAUCCAGGUUCUGACUUCCUCGGGGCAACCUCUACUUUCUCAAUGCCCCUCUUAAGAUGGGGGUGGGGGAGGGUCCUCCUAGAACUGAACAUGAUAUUCCAGGUGUGAUCUAAUACAUUUAAAUGUCCAAAAGCUCUUUCUUCCCUAAACGUUCCUUUUUAAAAGCUACUGUUCUCAAUUAAUGGGUGUCUCAUCUUCUUAAGUAUAUUAAUAAGAGGUAUUUUGAUGUUUCCCUCCAUUCUGUGGAUUACCUCUUGAUUCUCUGGAUUCUUUGUGAUUCCGUUUUGUUUUAAGGAUGUUCUCAGGUGUCUGGUGAUCCUUGCUUAUAAGUCCAAAUUAAUGAUGAGGCACUAAAAUGCUGAUUGGAAGCUCUCUGUGCAGGCAGGUAUUGUUGAAUAGUGGUAAACAGGGGACAUGUUCAUUUUGGAGACACUCAAAUAUCAGGACCUAUAAAUCUCUAUGCCAAGUCAGUUUCCCCAGAGUCUCUUAAUAUCAUUUCUUUCAGGUUAAAAGCCUGGUUACCAGGUUCUGGGAGUGAAGGGAGGAGUGGGGCUUAGACAAGGGUGGGGGCGGGGGUAUGUCUCACAAUUCACUAAAUACCUUCUUUUAUAUAUGUGUUCUCUGUGCAGCAUUUUACCCCCACCAUCGUCCAUGUCUGAUGCCUCAGGUUCAAUCUUGUUCAGUCUUUCCAAAGAGGAAACAUUGGUUGGGUGGGAAUGAUUGGCAGGUCGAAGAGAGAAUUUGAAGCUAUAGCUGCUCCUUUUAAAACUUCUAACUCAUCUUUGUUUUUUCAGGCCUUCCUCACACCCAUGUCUUCAGAUACCCAAGGCCUUUAAUACCCAAGUCCUUCCAGGAUUCUGCACAUCUCAUUAGCUUCAUAUUCCCGUAAGUACUUGGGUUUCUGCUUUCUCAGCUCUGAUGUGUCAUUUUCUAAUCAAUCAUCAGCAUUCCAGCUUCCAAAGUUUUGUUCAUAUAUCUUACAUGUGUUGUCUUGACCGACUUCUUUUUGGACCUUAGAUUAUUUACCUAUUUAAAUUCCUUAAUUGUUACUUUAGUGGAGUUUUGGAAGGGAACAAAAAUAUAGGCAGGUGUUUAUCACAUUUAACAAGGAACUCAAAAUUUAUAUUUAAUUCUAUUUAAUCUGGCUGCCUUCUUGCCAUCAGUCUAUUUGAAAAGUUCAUAUGGACCCAGCUCUGUCAUCAUCACAUGUUCUAUAUCCCCAAACCUUGUGACAUCUGCAAAGAAGUACAGAAGACCUCAAGAGAAGAUAAGCUAGAAUUUAUUUAUUUUUAUACCUUUUAUUCAGUUUUUAUUAAAGCUUUCCUACCUUUCCAGAUUGACACAGAAUUAUUCCAUGAAUCUGUCUAUUAAUCCAUUUACAGCAAGUGCUGGGGAUAGAAAUUAAGGUUUAAACAUAUAAUUCCUGCCAUCAAAGGACUCCCUGUUGAUUAGGGGACACAGGCAAGAAAAUAGACAGUAAGUUUGUUAAGGCAUGAACAAAGAACUGUGUUGGUACACACAGUACAGAGAGGAAGUACAAAGAGGAUGGUGCUUAAGAAGAGUUAACACCUAGACCUAAUCUUAGAGGAUGAGGAAGCAUUGGGUAGACUAGAAGACUAGGUGUAGGGGUAAAGGAAGGCAUAUCAGAGAAAAGGGAGCAGCUACAUAGAGGCAAGGACUAUGCCUCUUCUGCCUCUGAAGAGGAGAAAUUUCUUUCAAUCAAUAGAAAGUGCAGGACAAAGGGUACUAAGUCAUCUUUUGAUGGGAUAACUUGAUGUUAGUGUCCUUCCAUGAGAAAAUGGGAAGCAGCCCCUUAUAAUAAAACCUCUGGCUUUUGAAUUACCAAGUAAAACUGAGGUGUCAGCAACCCUUGGCUGAAUGUGGAACUUGCUAAUAGAACCCCUACAUUCAUGGGAAGGGAUAAAAGAGCUUUAAAAAGUACAAAAGCAUUGUGUGAAUAUAUGGGAUUAAUAUUACUACUACAAUAUUGCCUACCACCACCAUCCCCAGCCCUGAGGAGUCUUCUUAAACUUACAAAAUGAAGCUGCUUCUCUAUGGAUGUAGACAUUUCCUGGUUUCAACAUUGCACCAUAGCUAUGCAUUAUGUCAACAUUGGGAAAAGGCAGGGUGGAAGGUGCACAGGAGCUCUCUGUACAUUUCUUUGAAACUUCCUUUAUACCUUUUAAAAGUUAAAAAGCAGCAGCAGUGGCAGCUUCUCAAGGCCAAAGAUGGGGAGCUCUAUUUCAUUUGCAUUUCUACUCAGGGCUAUAAUGAAUUGAACUCAAUGUGUUGCUAAAGAUUAUUAUGAAAUUAAAAUCCAAUUAGGAUGGUCUCGUGGGUCUGGUAAAAGCUUGGAUUAGAGACCAGGCACAACACGGGGUUGGGGGAGAUGGACUGCUCAAUAGAAGUAGGGCUGAGUGGGGAGUUUAAAGCACUGGCCUCUAAGUAUAGGAACCACUGUACAAAUUUUAAAAUAUACUCAGGAUAGUUAAUAUUUGAUCAAAAUCCACUGUGAAGUGAGGAAUUUUUCCUGCUGGGCAUUCUAUUUUCCAGUUCUAUGAUCAAGCCCAGUGACUGGUAAAUACAAUAUGCCCCACUAGCCCCCAGCUUCUCCCAGCUCCUGUUCCCUCCUGGUGCUCAAAGGGAGAAAGGCUAAGAAAUUCCAAGCCCUGGUCAGGAAAGUGAUCUUGAAAUCACACACAAUGAAUAGUGCCAUCACUAAUGACUCAGCUUGUAAAGAACCAGUGAAGUGAGGAAAUUCUUUCUAUGCACAGAAUGUCUAGAUAUUUAGGCAAAAUUGAAGGGGAUGAGGCAGGAAUAACCAGGACAAACUCAGUAAGAACUUCAACCCUGGUUUUCUCAAGAUUCAGUUUAUGUGCUGAUCAUUUUCUCUCAUAUCUAAUUCCCUUACUUCCCCUGCUCUGUUUUACAUCGAAAGUGCUGACUUCAUGCAAAUUACAUGCAAUUUGCAUGUAAUUUGGAAUUUGCUCCCUGGGAAAAUCACUUCUGACUAGGUUCAGCCAAUGGGAGGCACUAACAGGAGAUUGGAGGGUAGGAGGAAGGGAGGCAUAAGGGAAUUUCUUUCCCCUCUCUGUUUCAGGUGGCAUUUCAAGAAUGUCUGUUUUUCCUCCAUGAUUUCUAUAGAUAUUCCUUAAUUUUCAAGUCUCCAUUAGCAUAGGUAUGAAGGUUUCUCAAUGUGCUCUUGCUUUGGCUUCCUUUAGUCAGAAUAGAAAGAGAAAGUUUUUUAACUUUAUUCAAACAUAUUAGGGGUUUGCUAGAGAAUACAUUAUUUGCCCCUAGUUAUCCUGAUGUUAUAAAAGGAGGCAGACCUGGACAAGUGUAAAUUAGCACAGACAUUCUAACAAUCACCAGAAAAAUGCACCCAUAAGUAGUGCCAAUGCAAGAAGUUUUGACUGUAAUGCCCGUGUGCAGUAGGCUGAAUGAUGGCCCCCAAGUAUAUCUAUAUCCUAAUCCCGAGAACUUGUGAAUGUUACUUGCUAUGCUGAAAGGGACUUUGAAGGUGUGAUUAAGGGUUUUGAGAUGGGGAGAUUUUCCUGGAUUAUAUGAAUGUGUCCUAAAUAUAAUCACACAGGUCCAUGUAAGAGGUAGGCAAGGUCAAAGGAGGAAAUAGAAGGUAAGAUAAUGAAAACAAGAGGUUGGAGGGCUGUGAGGAAGGGGGUCACAAGCCAAGAAGCAUAGGUGGCCUAGAGAAGCUAGAAAACACAAAGAAAUGGAUUUCUUAUAGAGUCUUCACGGGGGACUAGCCUUGCUCACACCUUGACUUUAGCCUAGUGAAACUGAUUUCAGACUUCUGGCCUCCAAAACUGUAAGAGAAUAGAACUGUGCUG
rnacentral:lncRNA from 1 species